CUGGCUCAGAACGAACGCUGGCGGCAGGCUUAACACAUGCAAGUUGAACGGGAAUGUUUGAUAGCUUGCUAUUGAGACAUGAGAGUAGCGCACUGGUGAGUAACACGUGGGAACAUACCUUUUGGUGGGGGAUAGCAAUUGGAAACGAUUGAUAAUACCGCAUAAGCCCUGAGGGGGAAAGAUUAAUUGCCGAAAGAUUGGCCCGCGGAAGAUUAGGUAGUUGGUGGGGUAAAGGCCUACCAAGCCUACGAUCUAUAGCUGAUCUGAGAGGAUGACCAGCCACAUUGGAACUGAGACACGGUCCAGACUCCUACGGGAGGCAGCAGUGAGGAAUAUUGGGCAAUGGAGGAAACUCUGACCCAGCCAUGCCCGCGUGAGUGAGAAGGUCUUCGGAUUGUAAAGCUCUUUUAUGCAGGAAGAUGAUGACAGUACUGCAAGAAAAAGCACCGGCAAACUUCGUGCCAGCCGCAGC
rnacentral:rRNA from 1 species